UCCCUGGUGGCCCAGUGGGUAGGGCUCUGCACUCCCAAUGCAGUGGACCCGGGUUCGAUCCCUGGUCGGGGAA